rnacentral:rRNA from 1 species
UGGGGAAUAUUGGACAAUGGGGGCAACCCUGAUCCAGCCAUGCCGCGUGUGUGAAGAAGGCCUUCGGGUUGUAAAGCACUUUAAGUGGGGAGGAAGGGGUCAACGCUAAUACCGUUGAUCAUUGACGCUACCCACAGAAUAAGCACCGGCUAACUCUGUGCCAGCAGCCGCGGUAAUACAGAGGGUGCAAGCGUUAAUCGGAAUUACUGGGCGUAAAGCGCGCGUAGGCGGCUAAUUAAGUCGGGUGUGAAAGCCCCGGGCUCAACCUGGGAAUUGCAUCCGAUACUGAUUGGCUAGAGUAUGAGAGAGGGAGGUAGAAUUCCACGUGUAGCGGUGAAAUGCGUAGAUAUGUGGAGGAAUACCGGUGGCGAAGGCGGCCUCCUGGCUUAAUACUGACGCUGAGGUGCGAAAGCGUGGGGAUCAAACAG